GGACCCGCACAAGUAGUGGAGCAUGUGGUUUAAUUCGAUGAUACGCGAGGAACCUUACCAGGGCUUAAAUGCAGAGCGACAGAGGUGGAAACACCUCCUUCUUCGGACGGUCUGCAAGGUGCUGCAUGGUUGUCGUCAGCUCGUGCUGUGAAGUGUCGGGUUAAGUCCCAUAACGAGCGCAACCCCUAUUUCUAGUUGCCAGCGGUUCGGCCGGGGACUCUAGAGAAACUGCCAGCGUAAGCUGUGAGGAAGGUGGGGAUGACGUCAAAUCAUCACGGCCCUUACGUCCUGGGCUACACACGUGCUACAAUGGUAGGGACAGAGAGUUGCCAACCCGCGAGGGUGAGCUAAUCUUCAAACCCUAUCUCAGUUCGGAUCGGAGUCUGCAACUCGACUCCGUGAAGUUGGAAUCGCUAGUAA
rnacentral:rRNA from 1 species